CCGUGCCGACCGGGGAAGCAGCGGCUCCCUGUAUCUGAAAUCCGCUAUACGCAGAGGUGAUCGGGCAUUUGAGGGCGCAUCCAUGCAUUGCAGUCCAUCGUCAGAGGUUAAGAGAGAUCGGUCCCGCGCAACGCGACGCUGUGAACCAUGUCAGGCGGGGAACCGAGCAGCAUUAAGCGGCACUUUGCGUGUGCCGCGGCCAACCGAUUUUGAGCCGAAGACUGUGAAACGGAUGCACGGACCGCUCGAACCUGCCCUGCACGG
rnacentral:SRP_RNA from 1 species